rnacentral:rRNA from 1 species
UACGUAGGGGGCGAGCGUUGUCCGGAUUUAUUGGGCGUAAAGAGCGUGUAGGCGGUUCAGUAAGUCUGCUGUGAAAGUCCAGGGCUCAACCCUGGGAUGCCGGUGGAUACUGCUGGGCUAGAGUACGGAAGAGGCGAGUGGAAUUCCCGGUGUAGCGGUGAAAUGCGCAGAUAUCGGGAGGAACACCUAUUGCGAAGGCAGCUCGCUGGGACGUUACUGACGCUGAGACGCGAAAGCGUGGGGAGCAAACAGG